rnacentral:lncRNA from 1 species
GGACACACCUGGGGCGUUUGAACUUUUCACAGAGGUCGUUGGAACAUUCUGUCGUUAUUCCAGGAGCUGUUAUUUUUUUCCAUGAGAGUUCCGGGAGCGGCCACCUGCAGGGGACGGGAGCACCCAAGGUGACGAGCCCAUGUUCUUAUAGACAGCUAGUAAUUUUUUACUCUUCAGAAGCAAUAUCUGGGAAAUAUUAACAGUGACACAGGUUUUUGUUAUGUGUAAGUGACUGGUGAAAGGUAAAUGAAUUGUAAGGGAUUCUCCUGUGUAGCAUGGGCUGAACAACAAACAAAAUGAAAAGAACUAGCACGGACACCUUCUUAAUGCAGCAAGGAUCCCAAAGUCCUUGAGGACUACAUCUCCGGGUACCAGAAGGCACAAAAGAAGAGAAGAACCCAUCAAUCCUCCCAGCUGAUACCUAUGAAUCACAACAAAGACCUGCAUGGCGUGAUAACACUAUGGGUGCAGUAGUGGCAUGGAUACCUUAGCAGGGAAUUAAAGGAUGAAGUAAACAAGGAAGAAGGAAGUGAUACAUAG